rnacentral:rRNA from 1 species
AGUGAACGCUGGCGGUAGGCCUAACACAUGCAAGUCGAACGGCAGCACAGUAAGAGCUUGCUCUUACGGGUGGCGAGUGGCGGACGGGUAGGAAUACAUCGGAAUCUACUUUUUCGUGGGGGAUAACGUAGGGAAACUUACGCUAAUACCGCAUACGACCUACGGGUGAAAGCAGGGGAUCUUCGGACCUUGCGCGAUUGAAUGAGCCGAUGUCGGAUUAGCUAGUUGGCGGGGUAAAGGCCCACCAAGGCGACGAUCCGUAGCUGGUCUGAGAGGAUGAUCAGCCACACUGGAACUGAGACACGGUCCAGACUCCUACGGGAGGCAGCAGUGGGGAAUAUUGGACAAUGGGCGCAAGCCUGAUCCAGCCAUACCGCGUGGGUGAAGAAGGCCUUCGGGUUGUAAAGCCCUUUUGUUGGGAAAGAAAAGCAGCAGGUUAAUACCCCGCUGUUCUGACGGUACCCAAAGAAUAAGCACCGGCUAACUUCGUG